rnacentral:rRNA from 1 species
UACGGAAGGGGCAAGCGUUGUUCGGAAUCAUUGGGCGUAAAGGGCGCGUAGGUGGCUCUGUGUGUCCACCGUGAAAGCGUACGGCUCAACCGUAUUUUGUCGGUAGAAACUGCAGGACUUGAGGCUGGGAGGGGCUGGUGGAAUUCCCUGUGUAGCGGUGAAAUGCGUAGAGAUGGGGGAGAACACUCGUGGCGAAGGCGGCCAGCUAGACCAGUUCUGACACUGAGGCGCGACAGCGUGGGGAGCAAACAGG